rnacentral:rRNA from 1 species
ACGGGAGGCAGCAGUAGGGAAUCUUCCACAAUGGGCGCAAGCCUGAUGGAGCAACACCGCGUGAGUGAAGAAGGGUUUCGGCUCGUAAAGCUCUGUUGUUAAAGAAGAACACGUAUGAGAGUAACUGUUCAUACGUUGACGGUAUUUAACCAGAAAGUCACGGCUAACUACGUGCCAGCAGCCGCGGUAAUACGUAGGUGGCAAGCGUUAUCCGGAUUUAUUGGGCGUAAAGAGAGUGCAGGCGGUUUUCUAAGUCUGAUGUGAAAGCCUUCGGCUUAACCGGAGAAGUGCAUCGGAAACUGGAUAACUUGAGUGCAGAAGAGGGUAGUGGAACUCCAUGUGUAGCGGUGGAAUGCGUAGAUAUAUGGAAGAACACCAGUGGCGAAGGCGGCUACCUGGUCUGCAACUGACGCUGAGACUCGAAAGCAUGGGUAGCGAACAGGAUUAGAUACCCUGGUAGUCCAUGCCGUAAACGAUGAGUGCUAGGUGUUGGAGGGUUUCCGCCCUUCAGUGCCGGAGCU